CCCUUAGAUGUUCUGGGCUGCACGCGCGCUACACUGAAGCGUUCAACGAGUAUUCACCUUGCCCGGGAGGGUUGGGUAAUCUUUUGAAAACGCUUCGUGAUGGGGAUAGAUUAUUGCAAUUAUUAAUCUUCAACGAGGAAUUCCUAGUAAGCGCGAGUCAUCAGCUCGUGCUGAUUACGUCCCUGCCCUUUGUACACACCGCCCGUCGCUCCUACCGAUUGGGUGUGCUGGUGAAAUGUUCGGAUCGGCCGUUUGUCGCGGUUUCCGCGUCAUGUGGCUGAGAAGUUCAUUAAACCCUCCCACCUAGAGGAAGGAGAAGUCGUAACA
rnacentral:rRNA from 1 species